UACGUAGGUGACAAGCGUUGUCCGGAUUUACUGGGAGUAAAGAGCGCGCAGGCGGUCGUUCAAGUCGAGUGUGAAAGCUCCCGGCUCAACUGGGGAGGGUCACUCGAUACUGAUCGACUUGAAGGCAGGAGAGGGAAGUGGAAUUCCCGGUGUAGUGGUGAAAUGCGUAGAUAUCGGGAGGAACACCAGUGGCGAAGGCGACUUCCUGGCCUGUUCUUGACGCUGAGGCGCGAAAGCUAGGGGAGCAAACGGG
rnacentral:rRNA from 1 species